rnacentral:rRNA from 1 species
GAUGAACGCUGGCGGCGUGCCUAAUACAUGCCAGUCGAGCGAACGGACGAGAAGCUUGCUUCUCUGAUGUUAGCGGCGGACGGGUGAGUAACACGUGGAUAACCUACCUAUAAGACUGGGAUAACUUCGGAAAACCGGAGCUAAUACCGGAUAAUAUUUUGAACCGCAUGGUUCAAAAGUGAAAGACGGUCUUGCUGUCACUUAUAGAUGGAUCCGCGCUGCAUUAGCUAGUUGGUAAGGUAACGGCUUACCAAGGCAACGAUGCAUAGCCGACCUGAGAGGGUGAUCGGCCACACUGGAACUGAGACACGGUCCAGACUCCUACGGGAGGCAGCAGUAGGGAAUCUUCCGCAAUGGGCGAAAGCCUGACGGAGCAACGCCGCGUGAGUGAUGAAGGUCUUCGGAUCGUAAAACUCUGUUAUUAGGGAAGAACAUAUGUGUAAGUAACUGUGCACAUCUUGACGGUACCUAAUCAGAAAGCCACGGCUAACUACGUG